AGUGAACGCUGGCGGUAGGCCUAACACAUGCAAGUCGAACGGCAGCACAGUAAUAGCUUGCUCUUACGGGUGGCGAGUGGCGGACGGGUGAGGAAUACAUCGGAAUCUACUUUUUCGUGGGGGAUAACGUAGCGAAACUUACGCUAAUACCGCAUACGACCUACGGGUGAAAGCAGGGGAUCUUCGGACCUUGCGCGAUUGAAUGAGCGGAUGUGGGAUUAGCUAGUUGGCGGGGUAAGGGCCCACUAAGGCGACGAUCCGUAGCUGGUCUGAGAGGGUGAUCAGCCACACUGGAACUGGGACACGGCCCAGAGUCCUACGGGAGGCAGCAGUGGGCAAUAUUGGACAAUGGGCGCAAGCCUGAUCCAGCCAUACCGCGUGGGUGAAGAAGGCGUUCGGGUUGUAAAGCCCUUUUGUUGGGAAAGAAAAGCAGCAGGUUAAUACCCCGCUGUUCUGACGGUACCCAAAGAAUAAGCACCGGCUAACUUCGUG
rnacentral:rRNA from 1 species